rnacentral:rRNA from 1 species
UACAGAGGGGGCAAGCGUUGUUCGGAAUUACUGGGCGUAAAGGGCGCGUAGGCGGCCAACUAAGUCAGACGUGAAAUCCCCAGGCUCAACCUGGGAACUGCGUCUGAUACUGGAUGGCUCGAGUUCGGGAGAGGGAAGUGGAAUUCCAGGUGUAGCGGUGAAAUGCGUAGAUAUCGUGGAGGAACACCGGUGGCGAAGGCGGCUUCCUGGACCGACACUGACGCUGAGGCGCGAAAGCCAGGGGAGCAAACGGG